rnacentral:rRNA from 1 species
UACGUAGGGUGCAAGCGUUGUCCGGAAUUAUUGGGCGUAAAGAGCUUGUAGGCGGUUUGUCGCGUCUGCUGUGAAAUUUCGGGGCUCAACCCCGAACUUGCAGUGGGUACGGGCAGACUAGAGUGUGGUAGGGGAGACUGGAAUUCCUGGUGUAGCGGUGAAAUGCGUAGAGAUCGGAAAGAACACCAACGGCGAAAGCACUCUGCUGGGCCGACACUGACACUGAGAGACGAAAGCUAGGGGAGCGAACAGG